rnacentral:rRNA from 1 species
AAUCAACGCUGGCGACGUGCCUAACACAUGCAAGUCGAGCGCCCCGCAAGGGGAGCGGCGGACGGGUGAGUAACACGUGGGAAUUUUCCUCAAGGUACGGAACAACUCGGGGAAACUUGGGCUAAUACCGUAUGAGGCAGAGAUGCCAAAGAUUUAUCGCCUUGGGAUAAGCCCGCGUCAGAUUAGGUUUUUGGUGGGGUAAUGGCCUACCAAGCCUGUGAUCUGUAGAUGGUCUGAGAGGACGAUCAGCCACACUGGGACUGAGACACGGCCCAGACUCCUACGGGAGGCAGCAGUGGGGAAUCUUGCGCAAUGGGCGAAAGCUUGACGCAGCCAUGCCGCGUGAAUGAUGAAGGUCUUAGGAUUGUAAAGUUCUUUCGCCCGUGACGAUGAUGACGGUAACGGGAGAAGAAGCCCCGGCUAACUUCGUGCCAGCCGCCGCGGUAAAAC